rnacentral:rRNA from 1 species
CAGUCGCCGCGGGAAUACGAAGGGGGCUAGCGUUGUUCGGAAUUACUGGGCGUAAAGCGCACGUAGGCGGAUCGAUCAGUCAGGGGUGAAAUCCCAGGGCUCAACCCUGGAACUGCCUUUGAUACUGUCGAUCUGGAGUAUGGAAGAGGUGAGUGGAAUUCCGAGUGUAGAGGUGAAAUUCGUAGAUAUUCGGAGGAACACCAGUGGCGAAGGCGGCUCACUGGUCCAUUACUGACGCUGAGGUGCGAAAGCGUGGGGAGCAAACAGGAUUAGAUACCCCAGUAGUCCCUGUCUCUUAUAA